rnacentral:rRNA from 1 species
CCUACGGGAGGCAGCAGUGGGGAAUUUUGGACAAUGGGCGCAAGCCUGAUCCAGCAAUGCCGCGUGAGUGAAGAAGGCCUUCGGGUUGUAAAGCUCUUUUGUCAGGGAAGAAACGGUGGGAGCUAAUAUCUCUUGCUAAUGACGGUACCUGAAGAAUAAGCACCGGCUAACUACGUGCCAGCAGCCGCGGUAAUACGUAGGGUGCAAGCGUUAAUCGGAAUUACUGGGCGUAAAGCGUGCGCAGGCGGUUUUGUAAGUUUGUCGUGAAAUCCCCGGGCUCAACCUGGGAAUGGCGAUGAAGACUGCAAGGCUAGAAUCUGGCAGAGGGGGGUAGAAUUCCACGUGUAGCAGUGAAAUGCGUAGAGAUGUGGAGGAACACCGAUGGCGAAGGCAGCCCCCUGGGUCAAGAUUGACGCUCAUGCACGAAAGCGUGGGGAGCAAACAGGAUUAGAUACCCUGGUAGUCCACGCCCUAAACGAUGUCUACUAGUUGUCGGGUUUUAAUUAACUUGGUAACGCAGCUAACGCGUGAAGUAGACCGCCUGGGGAGUACGGUCGCAAGAUUAAAACUCAAAUUGAAUUGACGG